GAUGAACGCUGGCGGCGUGCCUAACACAUGCAAGUCGAGCGUGAUUUAUGAGGACGAAACUUCGGUCUAGGAAUCAUAAUGAAAGCGGCGGACGGGUGAGUAACGCGUAGGCAACCUGCCCUUGACACAGGGAUAGCCUCGGGAAACCGGGAUUAAAACCUGAUAACGCCAACGAGCCACAUGGCUCUUGGGCCAAAGAUUUAUCGGUCAAGGAUGGGCCUGCGUCUGAUUAGUUAGUUGGUGGGGUAACGGCCUACCAAGACGACGAUCAGUAGCCGGCCUGAGAGGGUGAUCGGCCACAUUGGAACUGAGACACGGUCCAAACUCCUACGGGAGGCAGCAGUGGGGAAUAUUGCACAAUGGGCGAAAGCCUGAUGCAGCAACGCCGCGUGAGCGAUGAAGGCCUUUGGGUCGUAAAGCUCUGUCCUUGGGGAAGAAACAAAUGGCGGUACCCAAGGAGGAAGCCCCGGCUAACUACGUGCCAGCAGCCGCGGUAACAC
rnacentral:rRNA from 1 species